UAACUAACACCCUCUUUCUUAGUCUGGAUCGGCAAAAGUCGAAAAGCCGAAAUGCCGAAAACCGGUAUUUUGUAGAUUUGCGAGUGUGCGAAUGCUCGUGAGGUAAAUCGAUUAAUGUUUUUGGUAAACUGCAAAAUUUGGAUUGCAAAGUGCAUGAUUUCUGUGCCCUCGAUAUUUUUGGGCUUAAUGGGCCAAAAUUGGAAUGAUGGGCCAACGGGCCCAAUUCGGAAAUCUCCAACCAUAGUGGGCUUGGAGCUGUGAGGGAAUUCGAAGUGGCCACCCGUUCUGAAAGUUUGAUUUUCUUCUGGUGAACUGGACAUCCUUUUAAUUACGUUUGAGGUUUUGGGCUUUUAAAUGUAAUAAGGCCGCUUAUUUAUUUUUGAUGGUUUUAAUAUGUAUUACUAAGAUAGGUAUUACUUA